UACGUAGGGGGCAAGCGUUAUCCGGAUUUACUGGGUGUAAAGGGAGCGUAGACGGUGAUGCAAGUCUGAAGUAAAAGGCGGGGGCUCAACCCCCGGACUGUUUUGGAAACUGUAUGACUGGAGUGCAGGAGAGGUAAGUGGAAUUCCUAGUGUAGCGGUGAAAUGCGUAGAUAUUAGGAGGAACACCAGUGGCGAAGGCGGCUUACUGGACUGUAACUGACGUUGAGGCUCGAAAGCGUGGGGAGCAAACAGG
rnacentral:rRNA from 1 species